rnacentral:rRNA from 1 species
GCGGCAAGACGGAAAGACCCCGUGAACCUUUACUAUAGCUUGACACUGAACAUUGAGCCUUGAUGUGUAGGAUAGGUGGGAGGCUUUGAAGUGUGGACGCCAGUCUGCAUGGAGCCGACCUUGAAAUACCACCCUUUAAUGUUUGAUGUUCUAACGUUGACCCGUAAUCCGGGUUGCGGACAGUGUCUGGUGGGUAGUUUGACUGGGGCGGUCUCCUCCUAAAGAGUAACGGAGGAGCACGAAGGUUGGCUAAUCCUGGUCGGACAUCAGGAGGUUAGUGCAAUGGCAUAAGCCAGCUUGACUGCGAGCGUGACGGCGCGAGCAGGUGCGAAAGCAGGUCAUAGUGAUCCGGUGGUUCUGAAUGGAAGGGCCAUCGCUCAACGGAUAAAAGGUACUCCGGGGAUAACAGGCUGAUACCGCCCAAGAGUUCAUAUCGACGGCGGUGUUUGGCACCUCGAUGUCGGCUCAUCACAUCCUGGGGCUGAAGUAGGUCCCAAGGGUAUGGCUGUUCGCCAUUUAAAGUGGUACGCGAGCUGGGUUUAGAACGUCGUGAGACAGUUCGGUCCCUAUCUGCCGUGGGCGCUGGAGAACUGAGGGGGGCUGCUCCUAGUACGAGAGGACCGGAGUGGACGCAUCACUGGUGUUCGGGUUGUCAUGCCAAUGGCACUGCCCGGUAGCUAAAUGCGGAAGAGAUAAGUGCUGAAAGCAUCUAAGCACGAAACUUGCCCCGAGAUGAGUUCUCCCUGACUCCUUGAGAGUCCUGAAGGAACGUUGAAGACGACGACGUUGAUAGGCCGGGUGUGUAAGCGCAGCGAUGCGUUGAGCUAACCGGUACUAAUGAACCGUGAGG